AGAACCUGUGAUAGACAAACUGGUGCACCAGCUGCUGGGAGCUGCAGUCGACAGGAGACUUGGGCAACUAGAAGCUGUCUCCUGCCCCUACACUGCAGGCCAGCUGACCCCAGAACAGAGCUUAGGAACAGUGUGGCCCUAACUAAUAGGCCAAAUCAGAGAUAAAGAUGCAAGCCUGGAGCCUAAUCUCGAAUACUACUGGACCCAUCAGCCUAAUACUUUAUGUGCACAUGUAUGCUGCCAUAGCUGCGGCCAGGUUUGUUCUGACCAUACCACACUGCGAGUGUUUCAAAAGUGGAGCGUUUUCAUCUAAGUGUCAGCUCAGAUGCUUGGACGCAGUGUCGGCCAUCCAUGCUGCAGCACUUCCCCGCAAACACCAACAAGAGCCUUCACUGUCUCAUCUCAGUGGUUAAAGAUGCACCUGGCCGCUGCCACUCAGCCUCACUGUUGUGCAGCUGAGGGAUCAUGGUAAUGCUACCUUGAGCCUGUUUUGUUUAACAGGGUGUAUGUUGUGAAGUGGGACCUGGUUGCAUUUUAAAAAGAUUGCUUUAAGCUUGCAUAUGCAACUGUUCCUUUUCCUUGUGGGCUCACAUGAGAGGGAAGUAAAGAUUCUUAAGAGACACCAGCUGUCAGUCAAGAGCGCAGUCCUUGUGCAAGAAAAGAAAUGGCUCCUGAUUUUCAUAAGUUUAUACUGCAAUAUUCUGUCCUCAAAACUCCUGAGGGAAGAUCCAAUAAAGCAGCUGGGAGUUUAAUAAGUCAUAAUAAGGUAAUUAUACAGCAUAUUUAUGUAACUCUUAUGUAUUAUACUGUGAAACAAGGUAUGAUUUAUGCACAUCAGCUCCCACACUUUGGUUACUUC